AUUGAUUUUAUGCUUGCAUAAAUGAUUUUUGGAUUCGGAGCGAGUGGCGAACUGGUGAGUAACACGUGGGUAACCUGCCCCGAAGCGGGGGAUAACAUUUGGAAACAAGUGCUAAUACCGCAUAAUUAGUUGGAACCGCAUGGUUCCAACUUGAAAGAUGGCUCUGCUAUCACUUUGGGAUGGACCCGCGCCGUAUUAGUUAGUUGGUGAGAUAAAAGCCCACCAAGACGAUGAUACGUAGCCGACCUGAGAGGGUAAUCGGCCACAUUGGGACUGAGACACGGCCCAGACUCCUACGGGAGGCAGCAGUAGGGAAUCUUCCACAAUGGACGAAAGUCUGAUGGAGCAACGCCGCGUGAGUGAUGAAGGUUUUCGGAUCGUAAAACUCUGUUGUUAAAGAAGAACAAGUGUUAGAGUAACUGUUAACACUUUGACGGUAUUUAACCAGAAAGCCACGGCUAACUACGUGCCAGCAGCCGCGGUAAUACGUAGGUGGCAAGCGUUGUCCGGAUUUAUUGGGCGUAAAGCGAGCGCAGGCGGUUUUGUAAGUCUGCUGUGAAAGCCCUCAGCUCAACUGAGGAAGUGCAGUGGAAACUACAAAACUUGAGUACAGAAGAGGAAAGUGGAACUCCAUGUGUAGCGGUGAAAUGCGUAGAUAUAUGGAAGAACACCAGUGGCGAAGGCGGCUUUCUGGUCUGUUACUGACGCUGAGGCUCGAAAGCAUGGGUAGCGAACAGGAUUAGAUACCCUGGUAGUCCAUGCCGUAAACGAUGAAUACUAGGUGUUGGAGGGUUUCCGCCCUUCAGUGCCGCAGCUAACGCAUUAAGUAUUCCGCCUGGGGAGUACGACCGCAAGGUUGAAACUCAAAGGAAUUGACGGGGGCCCGCACAAGUGGUGGAGCAUGUGGUUUAAUUCGAUGCUACGCGAAGAACCUUACCAGCUCUUGACAUCUUCUGCCAACCCAAGAGAUUGGGUGUUCCCUUCGGGGACAGAAUGACAGGUGGUGCAUGGUUGUCGUCAGCUCGUGUCGUGAGAUGUUGGGUUAAGUCCCGCAACGAGCGCAACCCUUAUUAUUAGUUGCCAGCAUUUAGUUGGGCACUCUAGUGAGACCGCCGGUGAUAAA
rnacentral:rRNA from 1 species